rnacentral:piRNA from 1 species
UGUUGACUUAAAAAUUGCCGGGCUG